rnacentral:rRNA from 1 species
CAAUAGCGUAUAUUAAAGUUGUUGCAGUUAAAAAGCUCGUAGUUGGAUUUCUGGUGGGAGCGAUCGGUCUGGCGCUUAGCGCGAGUACUUGCAUCGUCUCCGGCCAUCCUUGGGGAGAGUCUGUCUGGCAUUAGGUUGUCGGGCAGAGGAUCCUCAUCGUUUACUGUGAAAAAAUUAGCGUGUUCAAAGCAGGCUUAUGCCGUUGAAUAUAUUAGCAUGGAAUAAUAAGAUAGGACUUUGGUACUAUUUUGUUGGUUUGCGCACCAAAGUAAUGAUUAAUAGGGACAGUUGGGGGUAUUCGUAUUCCGUUGUCAGAGGUGAAAUUCUUGGAUUUACGGAAGACGAACUACUGCGAAAGCAUUUACCAAGGAUGUUUUCAUUAA